UAAAGUAUAAAAAGCUUAUUCGAAGUGG
rnacentral:piRNA from 1 species